UAAAUUCAAAACUUACAACAUGACAGUAGGAACAUGUGCCAUUGAGGAGUGACUGACAGGUCACACCCGCCGUGUUCUUUUUGUUGUAAUUGGGAAAACGGAAAAUCCGUAGACAAUUAAGUGAGUAAUUAUGAUCCAACAGUAUGAAAAACGUCAGUCAGAAUUAAUAUCAUAAUAAAUGACAAAGUACAAAAAACGACAUAAAAUGCCACAAUGUAAACUACAAUUACCUAAAAACACAGUAAUGUUCACCAUAGAAACAAUCUUGUUUAUAUAACACAUAGAUAAAUAACAUAGUACUGUGGCUAGAAUUAAAAAAGAACAUUAUAAGACAAUAAAGCUAUCAAUUUCUAUAUACAAAAAGUGUCAAAGAUGGGUUCUUCCGCCAUAUAUAUUAAAGCUACAGUUUCUUUCAGCAUUAUUUUUUGAAAGGUCAAUAUUCAUUGUUGUUUUAUUACAUUAUCUCAGAGAGUUUUUGCCGUUAUUUAUUUAUAAGAAUGAAGUAGGGAAAAAAGUUAUUUUAUGAAAUGUAAUUCGAUUUUAAGUUAAAAAUUUAUGUAAACAAACGGUUUACAUCUAAUUUUAGACCUGUGUGUUUCAUAUUUCAGAAAAAAAGAUUGUCAAAGAGUUAUAGGAAAGAUACAGAGCUCAUUUUUCUUUACUAUAUAAACACAUUGAAGGAUUUUGUGAAUUCUGUAACUUUUAACCUUUGAUCUUAUUACAGUAAUACUAAUAAAACCCCACUGCGUUUCAUUUCAUUGCAUAUUAUUGUGCGUCAUGAGAAGUCAACAAAAACUAUUUAAAAAAUAAAUUGAAAAGUAUAUACGAACUGUAUAUAAUUAUUAUGUAUUUACGCAAGCAUACUGUAGUCAAUUAAAUCUAUAACAAAAUAAAGGCAAGAACCACAUAUAUCAGUGGUUUAAACGAAAGGAUUUUAUGCAGACCGAACGUAAUGACACUAAAUAUCACUGGUUAUUUGCUUGCGUUCCUUGCUUAGAAUGUCCUUUUAUACCAUAUAAACGUUUAUGGUCAUUAUAUAAUCUGCAGUGGUAUUUAAAGUUUCUGUUGGACAGGUUUAAGACAACGAUUUAAUUAUACGCGAAGGUAACGCUUCGUGCACCGGUAACCGUUGACAGACAUUCAUCAUCGGAGUUCAUUUGCAUUUCACAACAUACACACGCCUUAAGUCAUCGAUUUCCAGGUCUCGACGUUUAUAGAGGAGGAAUUGACUGCCCUAUGUAGUUACAUGUACUUUGCUUGUGUUGAAACAUACUAGCUUAACCCGACAUUUUGAGAUUUUUGACAGCCACAUUGUCAAAAUGAUGCCGGUUUCAAUUUGCAGUUUUCUUUUAUCUUCGUAUGUCCUGAGCAAUUAUGUAGUAACUAUGUCUGUUGUGAGCACUGCUUCCCAGACUACUGUGUCCGCCGAAAACACUUCCACUCCAGCUCUGGACAGCAAUGAACAAAGGAUUGCGGAUAUUAUAGUGAUGAUACAUAUGAUUGGUAGACCACUGGAACCGGAGGCAGCUAUACGAAUGGAUGUCGAGAAAAAAAUCAGAGAUGGAAAUAUAACAGAGCUAUCGCAAGUAUUUACCAAGGCUGAAUUUAACGCCUUCUGUGCAAUUUGGCCAAAUGGAUGUUCAGGCACGCAGUAUAACAAUUGGAAAUGAAAGAGAAAAAUAAAAAGUGUUUGAUAUCAUUCAAAAUUGUGUGAAAAAAAAAAUCAAUAAUAAUUGUAAUUCAAUUAUGAAUAAUUCUCCGAGCUAUGUUCUUUACACAAUGUGAAUUUUUGACAUAGCAGUUGGCUCUCGGCGCAACUACUAUGAGCUUGAUGAAUUCUGUAAUCACAGAUGAUAUUUGCUUCAUUCCAUAAUGAAUUGAUUAGCAUUUGUGAAGUGUUAUACGUUGGGUCAUAUUCAUUUGCAUUGUGAGAUUUAAAUCGUUAUGAAAUUUUCUAAUAAAAUAUGUCACUUCUAA